rnacentral:rRNA from 1 species
AAAUUGACACCGUAACUUCGGGAGAAGGUGUGCCCUUGUGGGUGAAGGACUUCGCGUCUGGAGCCUAUGGGGGUUGCAGAGAAUCGGGGGUAGCGACUGUUUACCAAAAACACAGGACUCUGCGAAGUCGCAAGACGACGUAUAGGGUCUGACGCCUGCCCGGUGCCGGAAGGUAAACAGGAGAUGUCAGCGCAAGCGAAGCAUCGAAUCGAAGCCCCGGUAAACGGCGGCCGUAACGAUAACGGUCCUAAGGUAGCGAAAUUCCUUGGCGGGUAAGUUCCGUCCUGCACGAAUGGCGUAACGACUUCCCCACUGUCUCGACCCGGGACUCAGCGAAAUUGAAUUCGGGGUGAAGAUGCCCCGUACCCGCGGAAAGACGGAAAGACCCCGUGAACCUUUACUGCAGCUUGGCACUGGUUUUCGGACUUGUCUGUGUAGGAUAGGUGGCAGGCGUUGAAAUGGGGCCGCUAGGUCUCAUGGAGCCAGCGUUGAAAUACCACCCUGAGAAGUCUGAAAGCCUAACCGAGACCCGUAAGCCGGGUCCGGGACACUGCCUGGUGGGUAGUUUGACUGGGGCGGUCACCUCCGAAAGAGUAACGGAGGCGCGCAAAGGUUCCCUCAGGCUGAUUGGAAACCAGCCGAAGAGUGUAAAAGCAUAAGGGAGCUUGACUGCAACUCAUACAAGAGGAGCAGGUACGAAAGUAGGCUUCAGUGAUCCGGUGGUUCUGAAUGGAAGGGCCAUCGCUCAACGGAUAAAAGGUACUCCGGGGAUAACAGGCUUAUCACGCCCAAGAGUUCACAUCGACGGCGUGGUUUGGCACCUCGAUGUCGGCUCAUCGCAUCCUGGGGCUGUAGUAGGUCCCAAGGGUUUGGCUGUUCGCCAAUUAAAGCGGUACGCGAGCUGGGUUCAAAACGUCGUGAGACAGUUUGGUCCCUAUCUUCCGUGGGCGUAGGAAUCUUGAAGUGGAUCUGUCCCUAGUACGAGAGGACCGGGAUGGACAAACCCCUGGUGUUCCGGUUGUUUUGCCAGAGGCAUUGCCGGGUAGCUAUGUUUGGAACGGAUAACCGCUGAAAGCAUCUAAGCGGGAAACCAACCACAAGAUGAGGAUUCCCUGAAGGUCCGUCGUAGACUACGACGUUGAUAGGUCGGGUGUGGAAGCGCGGCGACGCGCGGAGCUAACCGAUACUAAUCGACCGUUUGGCUUGAUC